AAGCAGUGACUAAGUUUGUGGUCAAAACCUUGCACCCGUUUGCCACAGCAGAUGCAGCAAGGAAUGUAGAUGACAAAUCGUGUUAGGCUGUCACAUUGCCAAGCCUCAGGUGGCAGCAGAAAAUGGAGACACGUCCUGAUUUAAAGUAUCUUUUCUCUAGGUAGCGCUGUGUUUUGAAGAGUUCAGGUCUGAUGGACAGGUCAUUAUUGUCCCACUGUUGUGUCAUCUGUGAUGUGAUGCAGUCAUGUGUCAGCAGCGUGAACAGCAGUGGGCCCAGGACACAGCCCUGAGGGGAGCUGAUGAACAGGGAGAUGGAGCUGGAGAUGUUGUUUCCCACGUUCGCUGAACUAUGUUGGUGGAAAAGUCCAAGCUGGUUUCCAUACAUUCACUCUCCUCAGGGUUUUCCAGACAUCGGCCACAUUAAGAUUCAGUGCUUUAUUUGAUCACUUUGUUUCUCAUUUGCUCCUGAAUUUUCCUUGGAUUGCGGCAUGAUGUCUGGCUUUUGAGGAUCUUUUGGUGUAUUCCACUUUGUCAGGCAGGUCCUGUUUAAGCGAUUUCUUGACAGAGACCAGCUGUGUCAGUUAUCAGGCCUUUCUCCUUUUAGUAAUAAACACCUUCA